rnacentral:tRNA from 2 species
GGGUCCAUAGCUCAGCGGUAGAGCAGUCGGCUCAUAACCGAUCGGUCCCUGGUUCGAAUCCGGGUGGGCCCACCA